CGCACAUGCUUCCAGACAAACCUGAGAACUCCGUGAAGAGCCAGAUGAUGUCGGAGGGAGAUUUGAGAAGGCUUAUCUUCAGAUAGAUCGGGGAGCGGGCUGCAGCUGCGCUGAAAUGAUUUAUAUGACGUCCCAGGCCACAGUCAUGUCUAGUGAGGAGAGCAGAGCUGAGAGAGGAAUGACUUGCUCAUUGAAGUACAUGGAACAUUUUCCUCUGCCAGCUUCAACCACUGGAGUGGAGCGAAGCCAUAACCAUGAUAGAUAGUCCCCAUGUGAGCAUGUGUGGGUUUGUGCAGGCAGCGUUACAGCAGCAUUGGAGAAAGUCACGGCUUUGGGUUACAUGAGUUGCUGUGGUCCUGAGCAAGAAUGGCAAUUUAAAGAGCUCUGUGAGUGUGGGUCCCUGAGAGCACUUCAUCAAGGCCCUGGAGCCAGAGGAAGUGGACUUGACUGUCAGUUACCGCACAGGAAAGGACCCAGUGUAAGUUUAACAAGUGUGUGUCUCUAAAUAAUUCUUCAGCUUGCUUUGUCAACUUCACAUGUUCUGUUUCAGUUCUGUCUCUUUUUCAUGUAAACCUUUCAUUUAAAUAGAAAGAAAAAAAAAUACACAAUAGUCGCUGCAUAAAAUGAAUAAGAAAUGUUUUCUGCAUAAUUAAAUGUAAGCAAAUUUGUGACAUUAAGCAUGUGAACCUUUCUGUACAAAAGGUCAGAUUUCCUUGCUUCUAGUG